rnacentral:rRNA from 1 species
GCAGAAGAUCUGACGUACUGAGGAAUAAGCACGCUAAUCCGUGCAGCAGCGCGUAUACGGGAGUGCAGCGUAUCCGGAAUUAUUGGGCGUAAAGCGUCGCAGCGCCUUCAAGUCUGCUGUUAAAACGUGAGCUUAACUCCAUCAUGGCAGUGGAAACUGUUGGGCUUGAGUGUGGUAGGGGCAGAGGGAAUUCCCGGUGUAGCGGUGAAAUGCGUAGAUAUCGGGAAGAACACCAGUGGCGAAGGCGCUCUGCUGGGCCAUAACUGACGCUCAUGGACGAAAGCCAGGGGAGCGAAAGGGAUUAGAUACCCCUGUAGUCCUGGCCGUAAACGAUGAACACUAGGUGUCGGGGGAAUCGACCCCCUCGGUGUCGUAGCCAACGCGUUAAGUGUUCCGCCUGGGGAGUACGCACGCAAGUGUGAAACUCAAAGGAAUUGACGGGGGCCCGCACAAGCGGUGGAGUAUGUGGUUUAAUUCGAUGCAACGCGAAGAACCUUACCAGGGUUUGACAUCCUGCGAAUCUCUUGGAAACGAGAGAGUGCCUUCGGGAACGCAGUGACAGGUGGUGCAUGGCUGUCGUCAGCUCGUGUCGUGAGAUGUUGGGUUAAGUCCCGCAACGAGCGCAACCCACGUCUUUAGUUGCCAGCAUUUAGUUGGGCACUCUAGAGAGACCGCCGGUGAUAAACCGGAGGAAGGUGUGGAUGACGUCAAGUCAUCAUGCCCCUUACAUCCUGGGCUACACACGUACUACAAUGCUACGGAUAAAGGGCAGCAAGUUCGCGAGGACAAGCAAAUCCCAUAAACCGUGGCUCAGUUCAGAUCGUAGGCUGCAACUCGCCUACGUGAAGGAGGAAUCGCUAGUAAUCGCAGGUCAGCAUACUGCGGUGAAUACGUUCCCGGGCCUUGUACACACCGCCCGUCACACCAUGGAAGUUGGCCACGCCCGAAGCCGUUACUCCAACCCUUGUGG